CAGCAUGCAUCAGUCCUUGAGAACUGAACUAUGAGAAUGGCCACUGGACGAAGAUCACACUGGACACAGGAAGGUGCAAACACAGGACAGACGCAAACAGCACUCCAAAGGCUUUGAAAUCAUAAACAAUUAAAUUCACAUUGGAAUCACAACCCGUAGAUAAGGCUGGUCAGAACCAGCAGCCUGAACCCAACCAGGUCAUAUGUGAACACCUGCUGGCACCUUGAUCUUGGACUUCCCAACCUCCAGAACUGUGAGACAUAAAUUUCUAUUGUUUUUUUUUAGUGUUUUUUAUGUGUUUUGUGUUCUAAAUUUUAUUUUUCAGCCUCAAUAUAUGACAUUUUAAAUUUUUGUUGUUUAUAAG
rnacentral:lncRNA from 1 species